CAGGAAGUGCUGCGCAGGCGAGCAUCAUUUUUCAGAAUAAAGAAAGACCCAGAAUUGUGCAUUCUAGACAAACUUUUGUGUCGGUUUUAAAUAUAUUACUACAGGCUGACUACAAUAUUAAGUCUGAGGUCGGUAACAUCAACAAUUGAGGACAAACCCAGCCUGCCUCUCUCCUUCCACACUUGAGUCCAAACCUAUAGUCACUGGGUCCUGAUUGUGACAGUGGAGCCCAGUUUGCACUGCAGGAUCCAGAGAUGGCAUCAGUGAAGCUGGAAGACUGCAGUCUAACACUGGAGCUGAAUCUCAACAUUAAAGAUGAAGAAGAAGAGGAGGAGAAGAU